GCUGUCAUAGAGUGGUUGAAAUUUAUAGCAAAAAAGUGUAUAGAAUUUAGACACUUCCAGAGAAAACCAUUUUUCAACACAAGUGUUUAAAUUUUAUUCACUAUUGGUUGAAAAAAAACUUGGCAACAAUCAUUUUUAGAAAACGCGGCAGCCAUCAUUGAUCAACUUUUUCGCAGAGUUCGGUGAGAACUACCAGAAGAAGCCAUCAACGUCGCCAGCAGUGGGAAUCAGGAAUUGCUACUUCCUUCGCAAUCGAGUGGCGGACCGAAAAUGAAGUUUUUUCCGUUUCCGACUUUGGAGAGAUGGAAACAACUUUCAAUGGAAAAGCAAUCACUAAAAUGACCUUUCCCAACAUGAUUUCCGGUUCAUUACAGUCUUUCCCAAGCAACUGAAUCAGACUAAAUCGUCCUCCUUCCAGCAGGCUGAAACGGCUUUACUACAUCAUCGACAUGGCAAGGUAUCAUCGCAGAUGGACCACUGGCGGAGCACCGACCGAUACAAUCAACAAGACUUCGUCUACACGCUAACUUGAAAGUACUCAUUAAUGAGUAAAAAAGACCCAUUUUGAAGAAAAGUGGCUUAACUCAUUAAUGAUUAAACAAUUUUACCCAUUAAUGAGUAUCUGUUACCCAUUAAUGAUUAACAAUUACUCAUUAAUGGGUAACAGAUACUCAUUAAUGGGUAA